rnacentral:snRNA from 1 species
AGCUUUGCGCAGUGGCAGUAUCGUAGCCAAUGAGGUUUAUCCGAGGCGCGAUUAUUGCUAAUUAUUAUUUUUCUUAGUAGAUCUUUUAUUGGAGAAAAUUGUAUUCCAAAGCAAACUUCACCUUGCCUUGGGAAAUUAACUCUUUUUAAAAAA